AUUGAACGCUGGCGGCAGGCCUAACACAUGCAAGUCGAACGAGUGGCGGACGGGUGAGUAAUGUCUGGGAAACUGCCCGAUGGAGGGGGAUAACUACUGGAAACGGUAGCUAAUACCGCGUACCAUCGGAUGUGCCCAGAUGGGAUUAGCUUGUAGGUGAGGUAACGGCUCACCUAGGCGACGAUCCCUAGCUUGUCUGAGAGGAUGACCAGCCACACUGUAACUGAGACACGGUCCAGACUCCUACGAGAGGCAGCACUAAAAAAUAUUGCACAAUAAUCACAAGCCUGAUGCAGCCAUGCCACAUGUAUGAAUAAAGCCUUCGAGUUCUAAAGUACUUUCAGCGAAAAGGCGUUACCCGCAGAAGAAGCACCGGCUAACUCCGUGCCAGCAGCCGCGGUAAUAC
rnacentral:rRNA from 1 species